GGGCAGUCACGAAAAAAUGUAAAAUUUUGAUAUUUUAUUCUUAUCAAUAUUCUAAGGUGACAGGUGCGAUUCGGGAACUUCUGAAGUGAUUUUUAUGUCCUUUUCUUGGUUUUUAUUAUUUUCAGACGUUUACAAAUUAAAUUUUUUGAUAUUUUUCCAGCAGUCACGAAAAAAUAUGAAAUUUUGAUAUUUUAUUCGUAC
rnacentral:lncRNA from 1 species